CGUCCGGACGGCGCGCAGCUGCACUGCGCUUACAGUGUGCUUUGACUUUCGGAGCAAGACCGUGGUGCUUCGCUCCACUCCGCUGUGCUGUGCUGUGCUGCGCGGCGCGGCGCGGCGCUAUCGUGUUAUGUGGAAAUUCGGGGUCAGACCCGCGAUAGGCACUGAGAAGAAACUGUUGCGCGUUAUCAACGGGCUGUCUGCCAGAGAACACCACUGGAGCAGAAGCUGGAGGAGAAGCUGGAGCGGUGUCUGAGCUGCAGAAGAGGAUGUCCGCCAUGGAAGCCCAAAUAAACACUUUCUCCAGCGGUGAGGAAAUUCAGCGGAAAAGAGCAGAGCACAGUCCUAAAAUUGUGAGUUCAGAAUUGCAUGACUCCUCUGACGAAGAGUAUGUCCCAGACGCCCCAACAUCUUCCUCCAGAGGUCGGGCAUCUAAACGAAGCCGUCAGGCGGGCUAUGGAGGCCGUGGUCGGGGAGCGACGCGAGCACCCCGAGCCAAAAAACGUCCUGCAGUCUCUUGGCCUGACAAGCUGUGCGAUGUGCAGUGGCCCGUGACAAGAAGGAUGAGAAAAAGACCUAAUAGCCCUGAGUCCUGAUGACCUCCGGACUCAAAACUGGAAUAAAGAUGAGAAGAAGAAGACCCCAAAGAUGAGAGACCCAUGAAGACGAGGAAGUGAGCCCACCAGAGAUGAUCCUAAAGAUGACAACCAGCCUGCAAUGAGAUGACAGGACAAGUUUGUGAGAAUGCACUGGAUUUAAACAAGGAUGGAACAUUGAGAAGAAAUAAGUCAUUUUCAAGAAAAGAUGAUGGGAAACAUGUCCAGGACCAGUGCAGGAGACGUGAGACCACUCAACAAAAACAAGGUGAAUCCAUGGAGUGAACUGGCUCAUUGGAUACUUUAUGUUAAUUUGUCCUUCCUGCCAUUCCUCCACGCUCCUCACCAUCCCUCCCUGCAGUUCUAUGGCUCAAAUAUAAUUAUUUGUCUUUGAUUUAAUUAACCUUCUUGCUGUGCUUUUGCUCUCUUUAGAGCUCUCUCUCCAAGACACCCGGUAAAAUGUUGAAUCAGAUCAAGAGAAGAAACUGGAUAAGGAGCAGCCCCAGCAUGUAAACUCAAACUAUGGAAGAGGGGAUGCUUAUUGUAGUGGCACAGAAGAUGAGACGACAAGAAAUCUAAUUCUGUUGUGUUUCAUUAGUUUGUAUAUGAUGUGCCUUACAACAAAGGGCAUCAUCCAUCCAUUAGCUACACCUUUUAUCCUAUAGAGUUGCAAGAGCUGCAGGUCACCAGUCCACCUCAGAGUAGUCACAAAGAGACAGACAACCAUUCACACUAACACUUCAGAUUUAGGUUAGAAUCAUCAGUUAACCUUCCAUGUAUGUGUUUGGAUUGCAGGAGGAAGUCAGAGUACAAAGAGAAGACCCCACACAGUCACAGAGAGAACAUGAACAGAAAGAACCAGAUGACCAGCAGAAGACAAGGAAAUAGUUCGAGGAGCCUCAAGACGAUCAGCAACAGACGAAACAUGUCAGAGAACAGGAAGAAGUUGACCAACAGCAUCAAACAGAGAAGAAGAAGAAACAGACGCCGGAAGGAGAAGAAGAAUAAUUUCCAGAUAACUCCAAAGGUAUCUCUGGAUCUGGUGCUACACAUUUAGAUCUGCUGUUACUGGCUUCACCGACCUACAAAGAGUUCAUGUCUUCUCCCUCCUCUUUACCCUCAUUCCAAGUGGAGUUUUUUUUUUCCAACUUCCCAGCAACGGGAAGUUUUUUUUUCCUCAACAAUGCUAUUAAAUGCUUGAUCUGAACAGACUGCAAUAAGACAGUCUUACAUAAAAAGUCAAAACAAAAGACCUGUAUCUGUUGUUUUGAAGUUUGACAUUAAUAGAACCUUCCUGUAAUUUUAGGUUUUAAAGAACCUUAUUCUGUGAUUAGAAAUUCAUGUUAAUCUGAAAAAAUAUCUGUUUUCAAACCACUGGUUUCUCAUGAACACCUAUGACUCCUUCUUCAAACACACUAGAUAAUGACAUAAUAAAAUGAAAAUAAUAUAGCAACUCAAAUUACAAAUAGAAAAUACGAAGUAAAAUACACCCAAAUCAGAGACUCAUCACCCACAACUACAUGUCACCUCUUGAAUAUGUUGUUGUUACUGAAGUCCAGAAGUUUAACAGGUGCAGCAGCUUCUGACCUCUGUGGACUGAGCUGAAAUUGGUUCCAGGGCAACAAAAAUGGGAUUAUUUUAAAGUACUGAUGUUUUCCUCCUGUUAUCUCUGCUCUAUCUGCUUCAUCUUGGAUUCUGAAUAACCCCAUGGACUUUAAUAUGUUGCUAAGGUAAAUACACAUUUGCUACUUGAUGGUUAUGAGCAGGGUGGACAUCUUAUAAAGGUGGCUGCAAAUAUGCUGCGGGGUUAUUCAUUAUUGUUGUAUAAGUCCAUGAAAGUCAUUCAAAUUUAACACUUAAUUCAGACUUUAAAGUCUUACAAACAAGCCACAGCAUUUUCCCCGCUAUAGCAUAAGACGAUAAGGUGUAGUCAGACUAUUCUAUGCAACACGGUGUCAGUAGUAGACAAUGGUUUGAGUAUGGGAGGGUAGUCUCAAGGAGUGAUUAAAAGUGGUGAAAUUAUUUCUUUGUAACUCAGCACUGCUUGAUCUUAUUUUCAGAGCUGUUGUCUUUAGACCCAGGUGAUGCUAACUCAAGUGACAUCACAUGAAGCCAUUUAUCAGACACAUUUAAAGCUGCGGUAGGCGAUAUUUUUUGGCAUCAUUGGGCAAACAUUUCCGAAUAACCUUUGCUCAUACUCUAAGUCAAAUGGUCUGAGAGGAAUCAAGACUUCAGCAUCUCAGUUUGGCUUCGUUUACAGGCUUUAGAAAAUAAUGUAAGAAUAUGGCCACUCAGUCGUUCUUAUUGGCAGUGCUAAUGCAGAUGUGUGUGAAUGUUCUUUCAGAUUGGUGGAAAGUGCGACUCGGUGGUGUCCAAUUUUGCAGGUAAAGUUGCUGUUCCCUCAUUGGUGAAGACUGCAGACACACUGCAAAUCAAUCCCCCAAAAAAGAAAAUAGACCUAACAGAAAAAGAGCAUGAGUGGGUCAAUAUCAACGAGGUGCACUCAUAGAACAGAAGUUAUGUCCACUAACAGCUACAUUUUAACAAAAUAAGGUAAGCUGCUACCUUCAUUUACUGUAAUACCUAAUCAUGUUUUAGUAGACAUUAGGCUGUGCAGGUAGAUUUAUCAUGCCUCACAAAAUCAAGCACUUCAAUAAUUAUUUUAAAUACAUUUCACCCAAUGACCAAAGAAUCAUUUUGUUAAAAUCACAGGAUUACGUUCACCACAUGUCACCACUUCUAACUCCUCAAUGCAUAACCCACUGCAAAACAAGGAAAUUGACUUCCUAACUCUGUCAUUUGAUAUGGUCAAUAUUCACAGUAUUGAGUAUCUCAUUGUUCUUCAGGAUUGCAUUAGAUCCCUAUGUUUAAAUGACAGGAUAGUGCAUGGAUGCAUUAAUCAAAUAAGCUCCAGUACUGUCAGCCUACUUCUUUCUAUAAAUCGAACAGUUGGAUAGUGCAGACAUUUUGAUUUGACCUGUAGCUGUAUUUAUUUUGCCUUUAUGUGUGUGUGAUAUUUUUAUGUAUAGAAAGAUAACAUUCAUCGAUCCAUUUAUCAAUCAGUCAACCUGACCAUCAUCAUCCGUAUGUCAGAAGUAGUUGGAAUGGCUUUCUAAAUUCUGUGUUUAAAUGUACACUACAGAUGUUCUGUGAGCCUACACGAUCAACUUUGCUGUAGUUUUUUUGACAUAUACUACACUGUACAGGGUGCUUUGCCAAUUAUGAACCACUGAAGAAUCAGCUUUGUCCACUGAUGGCACAAAUGUCUAUAUGUUUUGCAUGCAUCAAUGCAAUACUUUAUUUUUAUUUUUUGAUCAUUCAAGUCUUAGACUGGUGCAGGGCAGAAUUAAGGGACAACGCUCACAACCUCUGUGCAGUAUGUUGUGCUUGAAUUGGAGAUGUUAUACUUUGGGCAAAUAUGUGUUAACAUCAAGGGUUUAGCAUGUGGUAGUGGUGGCAAGGUUUCAAACACACACCAUUCUUUCAAUAACCAUGAAAAAGAAUUUAAAUCUUUGGGUUAAUGCAAAUGACAGAUGUUGCAGUAUAACAAUGUUUUCACAGAAGACAGUUGUACCUGCCGCAGUAGGAAAUAGCUCAUUAAUGAAGGGUGAUGAUGUGGAUUCAACUGCUUUUGUUCAAAGAUCCUCGCUUUGUGCCAAAUGAUUUACUUUCAAAGCUUACAGGGACACUUACUAUUAAUAAUGUUAUUAGUAACACUUGUGUUUUUCCACCUAUGAAAUGUUCAUAGUUUUAUGUCAGAAUGCUGUGUUUGUCGUUCGGUCAUACAUCGACAAGUUAUUGAUCUUUUGGGGCGGCUGUGGCUCAGGUGGUAGAGUGGGUUGUCCAAUGAUCAAAGGGUUGGCGGUUUGAUUCCCCCUCUCGCCUAGUGAUGUGCUGUUGUGUCCUUGGGCAAGACACUUAAACCACCUUGCCUCCAGUGCUGCUCUCAUGCUGGUGUGUGAAUGUUGGGGGUGGUCGGAGGGACCGUAGGCGCGGAUUGGCAGCCACGCUUCCAUCAGUCUGCCCCAGGGUACCUGUGGCUUAAUGAAAAAAUUAAGCUUCAAUUAAUUUCUAUUUUAAGGUAAACAUUCACAACAUAUGUGAUCUCCAGGUGUUUCAAAUAAUAGAGUGAAGAUCAAACCCAACAAGUCCAAAGAGUCCCUUGGAUUCCCUUAGAGCAGCACUUGGCAACAAUGCAAAUCAGGAAUAAACAAUGCAACCUAUUUCAGAAAACUG